GCCGGUGUAGCUCAGUUGGUAGAGCAACGCAUUCGUAAUGCGUAGGUCCGCGGUUCGAAUCCGUGCGCCGGCACCA
rnacentral:tRNA from 1 species